rnacentral:rRNA from 1 species
ACGUAGGGGGCGAGCGUUGUCCGGAAUCAUUGGGCGUAAAGAGCUCGUAGGCGGUUCAGUAAGUCAGGUGUGAAAGCUCCGAGCUCAACUCGGAGAGGCCACCUGAUACUGCUGUGACUAGAAUCCAGUAGGGGAGUGUGGAACUCCUGGUGUAGCGGUGAAAUGCGCAGAUAUCAGGAAGAACACCAGCGGCGAAGGCGGCACUCUGGGCUGGAAUUGACGCUGAGGAGCGAAAGUGUGGGUAGCAAACAGGAUUAGAUACCCUGGUAGUCCACACCGUAAACGUUGGGCACUAGGUGUGGGGAGGAUCAACCCUUUCCGUGCCGUAGCUAACGCAUUAAGUGCCCCGCCUGGGGAGUACGGCCGCAAGGCUA